GGCAAUUUUUUACGAAAAGGGGGAGAUCAUAAGAAGAACAGGUAUUGAUCAAAGCAGAGGAUGGAGAGGAUGAAUUCAAAGAAAAAAGAGGGAGUGGUGAUUGAGAACUAAGGGGGAGAAGAUAUAAGAAUUCAAUGUUGAUUAACUUUACAUUUUUUAGUGAUUUGUUUUGCAGGACAUCAAGACCUUAAGACUUCUAGUUGCGUCUAAGUCAUAGAGUCUGUUUUAGGAGUUUUGAUGUAUUUUGAAUUUUAUAUUGUAUUUGGAUUACACGCGAGAAGUUCAAUGUUUUGGAGAUGACAAUUGAACUUCGUUUUUCUUUAAAUUGUAAUUUUUGAGUUUGUGUGAGUUUUGUCACGAAAUUGCCAAAGGGGGAGAUUGUUAAGUCUUAUGUGUUGGCAAGUUUUGUGAAGUGAGUUGGAGUCUUGAAGAAUCAGUGCGUAUCGUCGAAGAUCGAAAAUUCAAGAUUUCAAAAAAAUUGGAAAAUAA
rnacentral:lncRNA from 1 species